CCUACGGGAGGCAGCAGUGAGGGAUAUUGCGCAAUGGGCGAAAGCCUGACGCAGCGACGCCGCGUGGGCGAGGAAGGCCUUCGGGUUGUAAAGCCCUUUUGGCAGGGAAGAGCAAGGACUGUACCUGCAGAACAAGUCACGGCUAACUACGUGCCAGCAGCCGCGGUAAAACGUAGGUGGCGAGCGUUAUCCGGAAUCACUGGGCGUAAAGGGCGUGUAGGCGGUCCGGCCAGUCGAAGGUGUAAGCCCACGGCUCAACCGUGGAAGGGCCUUCGAUACUACCGGGCUAGAGUGCGGGAGAGGAGAGCGGAAUUCCCAGUGUAGCGGUGAAAUGCGUAGAUAUUGGGAGGAGCACCGGUGGCGAAGGCGGCCCUCUGGACCGCAACUGACGCUGAGGCGCGAAAGCGUGGGGAGCAAACAGGAUUAGAUCCCCUUGUAGU
rnacentral:rRNA from 1 species